UACGUAGGGUGCAAGCGUUAAUCGGAAUUACUGGGCGUAAAGCGUGCGCAGGCGGUGAUGUAAGACAGUUGUGAAAUCCCCGGGCUCAACCUGGGAACUGCAUCUGUGACUGCAUUGCUGGAGUGCGGCAGAGGGGGAUGGAAUUCCGCGUGUAGCAGUGAAAUGCGUAGAUAUGCGGAGGAACACCGAUGGCGAAGGCAAUCCCCUGGGCCUGCACUGACGCUCAUGCACGAAAGCGUGGGGAGCAAACA
rnacentral:rRNA from 1 species